GUCAGCAUGGUAUAGUCAUUUGCAUGUUGGACUACAACUCUGGAGACCAGGGUUCGAUUCCCAGUCUGGCCA